AUUUCUCUCUUUAGAAUUCCUUGUUUGUGAGCCUCCCAUUCCUCCAAACAAUUUAAAAAACGACGAGACCUUAUACCGACAUAAAUGGCGACUGGUGGUGGAAAGGUCUCGUUCAAGGUCACUCUCACCUCCGAUCCAAAGCUCCCCUUCAAAGUUUUUAGCGUUCCAGAAGGAGCUCCAUUCACUGCUGUUGUCAAAUUCGCGGCCGAAGAAUUCAAAGUCCCUCCCCAAACCAGCGCCGUCAUCACCAACGAUGGCGUAGGAAUCAAUCCUCAGCAAAGUGCAGAUGGUUGUUGUGAUAUACGAAGGAAUGAUUAAUGAUGUCAUACCAGAGAGAAAGAAGGAGAUGACAAAUAAGAUCCAAGUGUGAAGACUGAAGAGGAAGUGGGCGUUCUAAGGAGGACAGUGGCCAAAUUUGAAGUUAACUAGGGGUGGCAAUUGGGCCAGACCCGAGGGGUUGCUGCUUGGACACCUAUAAUGAGAGGGGUAUGGUGAGUUCUUAAUGGAAAAUGUCUGGAGUCAGGCCGGUAUAAGAAGGUGAAUCCGACUUGGGUUAGAAGUGGAGAUGGGUGUGCCAUCCGCCUGACUAUAUGGUAAUGUCUUCCUUAAACAUGGUUCAGAACUGCGCUUGAUUCCUCGUGACAGGGUUGGUGCUUCUUGGAUGUUAUCGUAGAGACGACGGUGAAGAAACAAGUUUAUUUCUUCUUCAAUUCUAGUUGGUUUCUCAUCCUUCAAGCAUAUGAAACUGAAUUAGGAAAAAAAGGAUUCGUUGAAAUGAGUUAUAUAUGAAACUAAAUAAAUAAUGAUUAUAUUUGGUGGAUUCAAACAUAUCCAUGUCUUAUAUGAUGAACUAUAAUGUUUUUACUAUUGAAUGUUUUUACAAUUGACUAAGGUAUGUCUAGCACAUAUGGCAAUGUUGAAGAUGAUGCUGCCACUUUAUAUUAAAGUUCUUAACAUCCUCUUAAAAGCUUUA